GGCUGCUUCCAUGAGCAUCACAGCAGUUCUUUAUCUUAAAGAUGAGGUUUCCAUUGCUGCUGGUGGAGCUGUGGACAGCAUUGUCAAGUUUUGGGAUACUAGAAGUUUGAAAAAUGUCGUCACACAGACAUCCCCUCACCUAGAGUCUACUGAGAAGGUUAAAUGUCUCAAUUAUUAGCCCUGAUGCUGCUCACAUACUCAGUGGUUCCAGUGAUGGAAAUGCCUACAUUUGGCAGGUAAACAAGCCUCAAGAAGAUCCUGUAAUAUUGAAAAGCCAUGACGGAGAAGUUACAGCAGUGGAUUGGUCCCAUUUUGAGGUUGGGAAGAUGGCAACUUCUUCGGAUGAUUUUACAGUUCGCAUUUGGAACUCUCAGAAUAGUUACUGCCCAAGCACAAACUCACCAUCUGUCAUCCGGAGGAGAGUCAUGGCAAUCCGCGGUG